GCUCUGGUGGUGCAGCUGGCCAGCAUGCACUCACCAAAAACAUUAAAACCAUAUAAAAUCGCAGGGAGACUUGGGCUCGAACCCCCAACCAGAGCA